GGGGUUGCUGACGGUACNGUAAGAAUAAGCACCGGCUANCUACNUGCCAGCAGCCGCGGUAAUACGUAGGGUGCGAGCGUUAAUCGGAAUUACUGGGCGUAAAGCGUGCGCAGGCGGACAUGCGGGACANAAUGUGAAAUCCCCGGGCUCAACCUGGGAACUGCAUAUGUGACUGUAUGACUGGAGUACUGCAGAGGGGGAUGGAAUUCCGCGUGUANCAGUGAAAUGCGUAGAUAUGCGGAGGAACACUCGAUGGCNAANGCAAUCCCCUGGGCCAGUACUGACGCUCAUGCACGANAGCUNUGNGGAGCAAACAGGAUUAGAUACNCUGGUAGUCC
rnacentral:rRNA from 1 species